GAGGGUAUAAGCUCAGUGGUAGAGUGCAUGCCUGGCAUGCAUGAAGUCCUAGGUUCAAUCCCCAGUGCUGCCA
rnacentral:tRNA from 1 species